GACGAACCGUCCGAACGUUAUUCGGAAUCACUGGGCUUAAAGCGUGUGUAGGCGGGUCGUUAAGUGUCUUGUGAAAUCCCACCGCUCAACGGUGGAACUGCUGGGCAUACUGGCGAUCUUGAGCCACCUAGGGGCAGACGGAACAAGCGGUGGAGCGGUGAAAUGCGUAGAUAUCGCUUGGAACGCCGACGGUGAAAACAGUCUGCUGGGGGUGUGCCGACGCUGAGACACGAAAGCCAGGGGAGCGAACGGG
rnacentral:rRNA from 1 species